rnacentral:pre_miRNA from 1 species
CCUCACAUGUUCCGGGUUUCGCGACGACUGAACCGUAUGAACCAUAAGACGGGUUCGUUGUCGACGAAACCUGCAUGAUGUGGGG